CACGUGAGCAAUCUGCCUUUCAGAGGGGGAUACCGACCCCCCACGAUCGUUAAUACCGCAUAACAUAAUUGAACCGCAUGAUUUGAUUAUCAAAGAUUUAUCGUUGAAAGAUGAGCUCGCGUCUGAUUAGCUAGUUGGUAAGGUAACGGCUUACCAAGGCGACGAUCAGUAGCCGGACUGAGAGGUUGAUCGGCCACAUUGGGACUGAGACACGGCCCAGACUCCUACGGGAGGCAGCAGUGGGGAAUAUUGCACAAUGGAGGAAACUCUGAUGCAGCGAUGCCGCGUGAGGGAAGAAGGUUUUAGGAUUGUAAACCUCUGUCUUCAGGGACGAAAAAAGACGGUACCUGAGGAGGAAGCUCCGGCUAACUACGUGCCAGCAGCCGCGGUAAUACGUAGGGAGCGAGCGUUGUCCGGAAUUACUGGGUGUAAAGGGAGCGUAGGCGGGAUCGCAAGUCAGAUGUGAAAACUAUGGGCUUAACCCAUAAACUGCAUUUGAAACUGUGGUUCUUGAGUGAAGUAGAGGUAAGCGGAAUUCCUAGUGUAGCGGUGAAAUGCGUAGAUAUUAGGAGGAACAUCAGUGGCGAAGGCGGCUUACUGGGCUUUAACUGACGCUGAGGCUCGAAAGCGUGGGGAGCAAACAGGAUUAGAUACCCUGGUAGUCCACGCCGUAAACGAUGAUUACUAGGUGUGGGGGGACUGACCCCUUCCGUGCCGCAGCAAACGCAAUAAGUAAUCCACCUGGGGAGUACGACCGCAAGGUUGAAACUCAAAGGAAUUGACGGGGGCCCGCACAAGCAGUGGAGUAUGUGGAUUAAUUCGAAGCAACGCGAAGAACCUUACCAGGUCUUGACAUCGUAUGCAUAGCUCAGAGAUGAGUGAAAUCUCUUCGGAGACAUAUAGACAGGUGGUGCAUGGUUGUCGUCAGCUCGUGUCGUGAGAUGUUGGGUUAAGUCCCGCAACGAGCGCAACCCUUACUGUUAGUUGCUACGCAAGAGCACUCUAGCAGGACUGCCGUUGACAAAACGGAGGAAGGUGGGGAUGACGUCAAAUCAUCAUGCCCCUUAUGACCUGGGCCUCACACGUACUACAAUGGCUGUCAACAGAGGGAAGCAAAGCCGCGAGGUGGAGCAAACCCCUAAAAGCAGUCUUAGUUCGGAUUGUAGGCUGCAACCCGCCUACAUGAAGUCGGAAUUGCUAGUAAUCGCAGAUCAGCAUGCUGCGGUGAAUACGUUCCCGGGCCUUGCACU
rnacentral:rRNA from 1 species